CGUGAUCCGCCCUUCGGGGUGGUGAAAGUGGCGCACGGGUGAGUAACGCGUGGAUAAUCUGCCCGAGGAUUUGGGAUAACAUCUCGAAAGGGGUGCUAAUACCGAAUAAGCCCACGGGGUCUACGGAUCUUGCGGGAAAAGGGGGGGACCUUCGGGCCUCCUGUCCUUGGAUGAGUCUGCGUACCAUUAGCUAGUUGGUGGGGUAAUGGCCUACCAAGGCGACGAUGGUUAGCUGGUCUGAGAGGAUGAUCAGCCACACUGGAACUGAGACACGGUCCAGACUCCUACGGGAGGCAGCAGUGGGGAAUUUUGCGCAAUGGGGGAAACCCUGACGCAGCAACGCCGCGUGGGUGAUGAAGGCCUUCGGGUCGUAAAGCUCUGUCUGGAGGGAAGAAAUGAUUGGGAGCUAAUACCUCUUGAUCUUGACGGUACCUCUGAAGGAAGCACCGGCUAACUCCGUGCCAGCAGCCGCGGUAAUACGGAGGGUGCAAGCGUUGUUCGGAAUUAUUGGGCGUAAAGCGCGUGUA
rnacentral:rRNA from 1 species